rnacentral:pre_miRNA from 1 species
CCUCACUCAACUUGGCUGUGGUGUGGGGUCGUUUUGCUCCAUCACAACCUCCUUGAGUGAGUGA